AGGAACAUACAGACUCAGGUUGGGUGAGAGUGACUCCUGCAGAAUGGGACCAGCAAGGGAGAUCAGUUAGGGGCUUGCCGCAGUCACAACACAGAAGAGCAAAUGUGGCUUCAACUGAAAUUCUUCCGCUGGAGACAGUGAAGAGCACAACUCAGAGCUAUGUCACAUUUGAUAAUAGGGCUGAAGACUUACCUACUGGCCUGGGUAUUCAGAACCCAAGAGUAAGGAAGAAGAUGACUGGCUGUUGGGUUCGGAGCCUGAGUCACCUAACAGGCUCAGUGAUCCAAGAGGACUGGCUCUGAAAGACCAGGUCAGAGUAAGGUUUGGAGGACUGAAAGGACUAGGGUAGAGGGGAGAGUUCAUGAUGGGAAGUCACCAAGAUUAAGUGAAGAGUUGGGAAAAGAAAGAGCAGGUGACUCCUUUGUGAGAAUUUCUGAAGCGUAAGAACUUCCAUUGUCUCCUUCGAGCCUCACUGUCGAGGAUGGACAUAGUCCUGUGCUCAGACACCCUCUGCUGCCUGCAUCAAAAGAACACUCAAUUCUGCUCCAGGAGCCCUGGUCACUUGCUGGCUGAGUCCCUGAGCAAGCUGCUUCUCAAGGCCUCGGUUUCCCUGUGGGCAAAGCGGUAAAGAUGAGUCAGGAUUUCAGACCCUAGUGAUCUCCAGUGUUUUUCUGGGGCCAGAAUGUUGACCUUAUAAAUCCUUGCAGGCCCUGGUCAAGAGUGGCACAGGGUGACCAAUGUGGCUGUUGUGUGGAGUUACCGAGGGAAUGAAGUAGAGCCGGCAAGUAGCCAGGACCACCUAGAUAAGGACCAACAAGGGUUGCUCAGGAUGAGAAUGACAAAGUCAAGAGUCCCAACCCCAUAUCCCUUCCCCAAAUCCUCCCCAGAAUUGUUUUUCAUUCUGUUGCAGUGCUCAAGUGCCUUCCUCUUGUCACCUGAGGCUUCCAUCUGCUUCUACCCUCUGAAGGAUCUCAUCCCAUCACUGAAGACUCCUAAGUCUCUAACUCCUGCCCACCUGGUCUUCUCGGGAAACUAAGACCCACCAGGCUCCUCUACUUGGAUAUUUAGCAGGCAUCUCACACCUAAUGUAUUCAAAGCAUGUCCCCUGAAGCCAGCUCCUUGGUAUUCCAUGAUACCAGCACUGGACAUGAACACCGCGAAGAUAAAGGAUCAUCUCAUUCCCCUCUGUCACUCCCUGCGGUGCCUAGCAUGGACAAUGACACAGCACCAUUAUCUACUGAGGAAAGAAGGGGGACACGAUGGAGCCCAGCUGCUGCAAUGAAGAAAGGCCUCAGUGGAGCCUGAGCUGCUAACACUGUCAUCACGUACCUCCAGUGACCAGAAUUUUGAG